AGCCGAGCGGUAUUUGUUCUUCGGAAAGAGAGAGCGGCGUACGGGUGCGGAACACGUGUGCAACCUGCCUUUAUCAGGGGGAUAGCCUUUCGAAAGGAAGAUUAAUACCCCAUAAUAUAUUGAUUGGCAUCAAUUAAUAUUGAAAACUCCGGUGGAUAGAGAUGGGCACGCGCAAGAUUAGAUAGUUGGUGAGGUAACGGCUCACCAAGUCAGUGAUCUUUAGGGGGCCUGAGAGGGUGAUCCCCCACACUGGUACUGAGACACGGACCAGACUCCUACGGGAGGCAGCAGUGAGGAAUAUUGGACAAUGGGUGAGAGCCUGAUCCAGCCAUCCCGCGUGAAGGACGACGGUUCUAUGGAUUGUAAACUUCUUUUAUACUGGGAUAAACCUACCCUCGUGAGGGUAGCUGAAGGUACAGUAUGAAUAAGCACCGGCUAACUCCGUGCCAGCAGCCGCGGUAAUACGGAGGGUGCAAGCGUUAUCCGGAUUUAUUGGGUUUAAAGGGUCCGUAGGCGGAUCUGUAAGUCAGUGGUGAAAUCUCAUAGCUUAACUAUGAAACUGCCAUUGAUACUGCAGGUCUUGAGUAAAGUAGAAGUGGCUGGAAUAAGUAGUGUAGCGGUGAAAUGCAUAGAUAUUACUUAGAACACCAAUUGCGAAGGCAGGUCACUAUGUUUUAACUGACGCUGAUGG
rnacentral:rRNA from 1 species